CAUAGCGACUAUCGUGGCAUAUCAAUAAGCGGAGGAAAAGAAACUAACAAGGAUUCCCUUAGUAACGGCGAGUGAAGCGGGAAGAGCUCAAAUUUGAAAUCUUCAAGGUUCUACCUUGACGAAUUGUAGUUUAUAGAGGUGUUUUCUGUUAGUAGAGUGGCAAAAGUUCUUUGGAAUAGGACAUCAUAGAGGGUGAGAAUCCCGUAUUUGGUCAUUCUUUCUAGCUUUGUGAUACACUUUCAACGAGUCGGAUUGUUUGGGAAUGCAGUCCAAAAUGGGUGGUAAAUUUCAUCUAAAGCUAAAUAUUGGCGAGAGACCGAUAGCGAACAAGUACCGUGAGGGAAAGAUGAAAAGAACUUUGAAAAGAGAGUUAAACAGUACGUGAAAUUGUCAAAAGGGAAGCGUUUGACACCAGUGUUGUUUUUCCGAAAAUCAAUUACGAAUGUUUUGUUUUUGAGAAGUUAUGACUUCAUCGGCUUGCUUCUCUCUUUACGAAACUUUCUUAAUGCACUUUUCGGUUAACAAGUCAACAUCAAUUUCUUUUGUUGUAAAAGGGUAUGAGGAAGGUGGCUUUCUUUUCGGAGAAAGUGUUUAUAGCCUUGUACCUCUGCAAUCGGAGAGAUUGAGGUCUGCAGCGUAGAUCCUUCGGGGUUAGAUACAUUUGUGCUAAGUUAUAGCUUUUCAUAGACAACUUGUUGACUAUGUUAAGUCUUGUAGCUUACUCGCUUAUGCUAUUUUACCUACGCUUAGGAUGUUGACGAGACUGUCGAUCUC
rnacentral:rRNA from 1 species